AGAUUCAUAAAAGAAAAAACCAAAACCAAACAGGAUUAGGAUUAGGAUUAUAACGGUAAUAUUAGUAGUCAUUUAUUGAACCCAUUUCAAUUGUUCAUAUGUAUAUAAAUACUCUCAACCAAAUUUAAUUAUUAUUGAAAAAUUGAGAGACAGUAAAUUUAGCCUAAUCUGGAUGAGAUCAGUGAAGGAAUUAGAUCACUCAGUUUCAGGCGGGAAGAGAUUAGUGAAUAAAUUAGGUCACUCAGUUUGAGCUACAUGUUCUUCACUGAUUUCGAACAGACGCGUCUCACACCGAUUAUGAGUCAGGUCACUCAGAAUUUGCGCUAAAUGUUCUUCACUGAUCUCGAACAAACGCUUCUCACACUGAUCACGAGUUAGGUCACUCAAAAUUUGCGCUACAUGUUCUUCACUGAUCUCGAACAGACGCUUCUCACACCGAUUACGAUUCAGGUAACUCAGUUUGCUAUAUGUUCUUCACUGAUUUCGAACAGACGCGUCUCACACGGAUUAUAAGUUAGGUAACAUUUUAGUUCCAUUUAUUUGAUUGUUGUAUCUACAUAAUUUUAAAGUGAGUGCAUGUUAGCUCUGUAACCUAGUUCUAGGAGUGUUUGAGACUGUCCUUUGAUACUCUGUCAACUAAAAGUUGAGUCCAAUUGUUACAUGUUCUUCAACGAUUUGUAUACAUGAAUUUUGGUAUUUUACUGUUUUCUAAAUAGAUCUUCUAGAAACAUAAAAUCUAUCUUAUGUAGAUUCUACUAGAACCUAUAUGUAUCAAUUAUGAUUUUCUUAAACAUGUUUUUUUUGUUGAUUAGUGUAUGUUCUUGAAAACACAGGCGAGUGAAACAAACCUGCUGAACUUUUGUUCUCUUUUUAUUUUUCAUGUUUCGGCAUUUCCUUUAUGUGAGGUGGCUAUAUAUAGUAACUUGACCUUACCAUGUAAAAGUGUGGAAACUCCAAUAAAUAGUUACAUCAUUAAACUAUUGUGUUUGUAGGAGUAUUAGGCUUUCGUUGGUUACGCUAUCCUCUUACCUUCUUAAGAUCCUGAUUGAAUGAAGGAAAUACAAAUGCACCAGAGAGUUGCUUGUUUCCUAUAAGUUCAAAUUAUGAUUUUUUAUAAUCUUAUCUUAUGUGCGCUGCUGUAAAUGAUAGUUUUCUUCAUUUUAUGACUGUUUUAUUUUCCUAAUAAACAUGCUUAAUAGGAAUAUAGUACUUCUUGUCCACUCAUGGAGGCAUACAGGUCAGUAUCAUAAAAUGCUAUUUUUUAAUUAUUGUAAAGUAGCAGAAAAGCAUUAGAGUUGUUUUGAUUCAAGAGCUGCAAGUGCCAAGCGCACUUAGGAACUAUUUGUUUGUACAUAAAUUUAACUCCAGAAACCCAUAGGAUUUAAUCCAAAUGAACUGCGCAGAAAUCGAACACUUAAUCAUAUAAUGAUGAGGUUAUCUUUUGUCAUUUGCAUAAUAUACUCUUUUUGUAACAAAAUCUGGGAUGCUCAUGCUGUAUGUUAGCUUAGAAAGUAUUAGCAAUAUUGGAAUGGCUUCUUACAUUAUGAUUAGUAAGCUCAUUUUCAAUUUUCUCAUCUUUUAUUUGACUGUUAACUUAGAAAAAAACUGUUUCAUGGUUUACUGAAAAACGAAUGGAUGUAGUCCAUAUUUUUUUCUAUUUUAAGAGUAAAUUUUUAGUUUAUAAAUGCAUUUGGGAGACGACUAUUAGUUGCUCAGGAAAAUAGUAGGACGAGUAGAGGAUGACGUAUGGAUGUCCUCUUGUUGUAUUUGUACAGGUUGCAUUAUUCACUAUAGGUCAGUUCUGUUUACUUGAACUGGUUGUUUCUUGUGCGUAAUUCAAAAAAUUUAUACAAAAGCAGGAAAAGCUAAACUUCCGGUGUUAUUUCAUCUAUGU